rnacentral:sRNA from 1 species
CUGUCCCCCACCCUCUACUGGCUUGGCAACUUUCUCUGGGACAUGGUGCGGGGGCUGCUUGGACGGGUGGGGGCCCAGCCACUGCUUGCCACUGCCCUGUCUGGCCCCUUGUAGGCAGGGUCUUGUCCAAGAUGGCCUGGGUAAAGUCUUGAGGAUUGUGGGAGACUUUGUGCCUCAAAAAGCAAGGAGGUCAGGGUGGGAACAGGGCUGAGGGUGGCAGUGCCCACCUCUUUAGGCUGUUAAAGGUAACUGCCAUCUCCAAUGCAGUGUAACUACUUGGUGCCAGCGUGCAUCGUGGUGCUCAUCUUUCUGGCCUUCCAGCAGAGGGCAUAUGUGGCCCCUGCCAACCUGCCUGCUCUCCUGCUGUUGCUACUACUGUAUGGCUGGUCGAUCACACCGCUCAUGUACCCAGCCUCCUUCUUCUUCUCCGUGCCCAGCACGGCCUAUGUGGUGCUCACCUGCAUAAACCUCUUUAUUGGCAUCAAUGGAAGCAUGGCCACUUUUGUGCUUGAGCUCUUCUCUGAUCAGAAGCUGCAGGAGGUGAGCCGGAUCUUGAAACAGGUCUUCCUUAUCUUCCCCCACUUCUGCUUGGGCCGAGGGCUCAUUGACAUGGUGCGGAACCAGGCCAUGGCUGAUGCCUUUGAGCGCUUGGGAGACAGGCAGUUCCAGUCACCCCUGCGCUGGGAGGUGGUCGGCAAGAACCUCUUGGCCAUGGUGAUACAGGGGCCCCUCUUCCUUCUCUUCACACUACUGCUGCAGCACCGAAGCCAACUCCUGCCACAGUUAGUGAGGUCUACGGAGAGGGUGGCAGGGGCCAAGGACCUACUUUAGGCCCACAGAUAUUCUGUCCCCAGGCCCAGGCUGAGGUCCCUGCCACUCCUGGGAGAGGAGGACGAGGAUGUAGCCCGUGAACGGGAGCGGGUGGUCAAAGGAGCCACCCAGGGGGAUGUGUUGGUGCUGAGGAACUUGACCAAGGUAUACUGCGGGCAGAGGAUGCCAGCUGUUGACCGCUUGUGCCUGGGGAUUCCCCCUGGUGAGGUGAGUCCAGGGGUGGAGGCCAGGUGCAGGGACAGUGAGUGGCUGCCCUACUGCAUGCCCUGCCCAUCAUCCUUUACUGAACACCUACUGUGUAUCCACCACCUUUUAUUGGGCACCUACUGUAUGCCAAUAUUUGUGCUCCUAUUUUUAUUUUAUUUUAUUAUUAAUUAAUUAAUUA